rnacentral:rRNA from 1 species
GACGAACGCUGGCGGCGUGCUUAACACAUGCAGGUCGAACGGAAAGGCCCUGCUUUUGUUGGGUGCUCGAGUGGCGAACGGGUGAGUAACACGUGAGUAACCUGCCCUUGACUUUGGGAUAACUUCAGGAAACUGGGGCUAAUACCGGAUAGGAGCUCCUGCUGCAUGGUGGGGGUUGGAAAGUUUCGGCGGUUGGGGAUGGACUCGCGGCUUAUCAGCUUGUUGGUGGGGUAGUGGCUUACCAAGGCUUUGACGGGUAGCCGGCCUGAGAGGGUGACCGGCCACAUUGGGACUGAGAUACGGCCCAGACUACUACGGGAGGCAGCAGUGGGGAAUAUUGCACAAUGGGCGGAAGCCUGAUGCAGCAACGCCGCGUGCGGGAUGACGGCCUUCGGGUUGUAAACCGCUUUCGCCUGUGACGAAGCGUGAGUGACGGUAAUGGGUAAAGAAGCACCGGCUAACUACGUG